rnacentral:lncRNA from 1 species
GUAAGGUUGGCCUGAUGUCCAUCUUGUCCUGGGUCCCCUCCCAGUAAGUGCUCUCCUAUGUAUUUUGCAGUAACCCCUAAGAUUACUCAGGUCUUGGCACAAUAAGCAGAAAUUGCUGAGGUAGAUACAAAUAGAAAUCCACUUAACCCUUCCUGAGGAGGCCCAGAUAUUCCAGAAAGUAACUGAGGAACUAUGUGCAUGUGCCUCAAGCCAGUGGAGCUGAUCCAUUAGGAGAAGUCCAGAAUGGGAGGGCUAGCCUACUCUCGUCUGCUCCCUUCUCUGACAGAUAGCUGGGCAUUUCCAUUGAGGAGACAGCAGGCAGCCACAGGAGUUGAGCAUGGUUUCAUCCUCAGUGUCAUGAAUCAUAGUCUUUAACUGAUGGCUGCUGUCCUCAUAAAGGGCGUCACCUCCUCAGAGGGCCUCCUGUGGCCAUCAAGAUAAUGAGUGGGUUGAACUGUGUUCCUUUCCAUUUCAGAUGUGAAACAACCCUUUGGCUAAAUCAGCAGUAACUAAGAAAGGACUUUUCUGCGUAAACAAGAGUGAGGCUGGGGCUAGAGAUCUCCUGUCCCCAGACCUGAGCACUAUUAGCCAGAGAAGCCACUGAAGCUAUUCCCAAGCUAACAUUCUGAUGCUCAAUCAGGGUGGUUUGCAGAGGGCUCCCAGGGCCCAGUCUCUGGGGUGCAAUGAUGCAGAAGAAAUGGGUAUCCUCUUUGCUGCUCAAAGUCCUCUGUGGGCUAAUAGCAUUACUUGUGAACUUGUUAGAAAGAAAGGACAGGUAAGCAGGGCAUGGAAGCCACAUUCUUGUCAUCUCAGCAUUUAGGGGGUAGAGGCAGGAGGAUCAGGAGUUCACAACCAGUGUGGGCUGUAUGAGACCCUAUCUUAAAAACAAAGAACCAGGUUGGGCUGCAGCCCAGUGACAGAGCCUUCCCCUAAGCAGUUAUAGAAAGCUCUAGGUUGAGAAAAGGAAAUGGGGGCUCCCAGGUUCUUCUCCGGAUGGCUGAGUGAGAUUUCAACAAGGCUACAGGCCAUUGGCAUACACAGAGCACAAUACAGUGCAUGGGUUCCCAGCACUCAGGAGGCAGAGGCAGGCGGAUUUCUGAGUUCGAGGCCAGCCUGGUCUACAAAGUGAGUUCCAGGACAGCCAGGGCUACACAGAGAAACCCUGUCUCAAAAAAAACCACUAAAUAAAUAAAUAAAUAAACAAACAAAUAAAUAAAUACCCUGUCUCAAAAAAAACAUUAAAUAAAUAAAUAAAUAAAAAUAAAGUGCAUGGUGCAAUGAAGACCACUCCUCAACCUGGAGCUAGCUCAUUACUUGGCCAGACUAGAGCGAGGCAGGUCACAGUAGCACAUGGGCGGGAAGGAGUCAGGCCAUACAACCCCACCCAAAGGUUUUGACUUUUACUUCACGAUGCCAUCUGUCCUUCCAUGCACAUUUAUAAAUUCCCCUACAUGCCCUACCUCAGGGUAGGGUUCUAACCACAGGACACUCCACCAAGAUCAAGAGAAGGAAACUGUAUAGAGAUCACUGGUAACC